GUCGUCAACAGAAACAGGAGAACGUCGGAGGUACUGGAUAUUGAGCUUGGUGCUGGCAAUGGUGAUGGUGAAGCCGGUUCUUUGUUGAAUCUGCCUUGCCAAUGCUAGGAAUGGUAUGAGAUGGCCAUGGGCAAGGUAAGAAAAAGCUUCACGAGGAAUAAAGGAACAAAUGGAAAGCUGCAAACCUGAUCUUUUGUUGUCUUGUGCUCUUCUUCUGUUGCGUCUCCAUCUACAGAAAAAGUUGGUGCUAAUUAGCAAAUGCACAGAAAAAGUUGUGGUCAGGCUUUUUCGUUAAUAAUGGCGUCUGACCUUUUCGUUUCGAGCAUGUGAAUUUGCUAUCAAUGGGCCGGGCCGGGUCGGGGAAGUCGAUUACGUGGAAUGCCCAAGAUCGAAUACCUGAGUUGUUGAGAGUCUGACCCAAAGGUAUGUGAAACAUGACAUUAACAGUGGUGCCAUAUAUGAGAUCUCUAUAGACUUUACGUGUCCCUCGUAUGCAUUCGAAAACCCGUUCUCAGAUAGCUCAUGAGCAGGAGGAAGCAACAUCGAUAAAUAUGGAAGCAACAAUCAUGGCAAGGAAAGUGCAAGGAAGGAGAAAGAGACACUUAAUGGAACCGCAGAUGCACGACAAGAUGACACUACACCAAACGAGUGUGUAGGCCCUAGUCAUACUAGAUGGGGGACUAGCGACUCCAAAAGCAAAUCAUCGAGAGCCUCCAUUUUAGCCAUCCUCUGUCCAACUAAGCCAAUAUUUCCUACGUGAACAACCAAAAACCAGCCCCUAUUUUUAUACUAUGCAAACAAAGCAAGUUUCUUGCUCAGCCCACAAUUGCGCACAGCUGCAGCACCACCAUCGGAAGGUUCUCACGUUGCCGAACGUUUUGUGGAGACACAGAUGAACCCCCAUGCCCAACCUCCACCCCUCUCGGUUCCUCCCUCACUUUAGUUUCUCUCUUCUUCUCUCUCCACGUUGUCUCUUCUUUCCCCCUCCAUUAUAACAUAGACCUUCUAGUGUUAUUAAUAGGAUUAUUUUUAUUUACGAUGAUUUUAUAUUAUAGUACUAAGACAGGAUAGAUGUUUGAGUGUUGAGAUCAUAUUUAGGUUUAAUCUUAUAGUUGAUUGGAAAAAUUAGGUGGGAAUCAAUUAUUUAUAAAGUGAUGAUAUUUUAGGGUUUCGAGGAUUGGUAGACAUUAAGGAAAAAUAUAGAAUUUUAUAUCUCAUGUUUUUAAUUACAAAGUAUGUGUUCAAUUGAAAAUUUACGAAAGUUAAAUGACUAUUUUAUAGAUGAUGAUUACUUUUGUUUAGUACUAUUGUGAAGAAAUUCUGAAAAGUUAAGAAGUUCAGGUAAGUGGGGUUCCUAUGUUAGACUUUGUAUAAAAGAAAAAUGAAUUAACGUUGGUUGAUAAAAAUGUGCAUGAUAUGUUUUGAAAAGAAAAUACGAAAAACAAUGGUAGUUAUGUGUUUCUACAUUACUCAUGAAAUCUAUAUGAAAGAAAAUUGGUUUCUGACAUGAUUGGUGUAGAUAUGAGCUACAUUUUGACAUGUUUUUAAAAUGUGAAAAAGAGCGAACAUGAAAUAUGAAAUUUUUUUUGUACAUGUUAUAUGAAAAAGUUCUGAAUCUCUACUGAACAUGUGAAAAAGAUGAAAAAAGAUGUGUAGUUCUGAAUAUGAAUAAAAACUCUGUGAUACAAUAUUAAUAGUUGGUAUUAGAGCAAAGUCAAAUAUGGUGGUAAGUAGGGACGAUGGUAGAGUCCCGCCUGAUGAUUCCUGGCACAUAAGAGUUGUGGGGAUGGUGGUAACCAGGGACGGUGGUAGAGUCUUGCCUACAAUGCUUUAAUAGGUACCCUCUAUAGUCAGUCUUCGAAUAUGAACAAUUGGUUUUUUAUUAUGAAAAGAUUGAAAAGUCACUUUGAUUUUUCGAUAAUACAUUUUGAGAUGUGCAUAUAAAAAUGAAAUGUAUUUUUUCUGCAUACUGAAUUUUUUGAAAAGGCUCAUGUUUACACAUUAGUAUAUGUAUUUUACUUACUGAGUUAUUGAUAACUCACCCUUUAUCUUGAUAACAUUUUUCAGAUGAUGUGGAUGAACUAACUGGGGGCCAGGAAUAGAAAUUGGAGUUUGGCAAGCUCAGAAUAGAGAGUCGACUACCUAAGGGUACCAAUGCUAGUAGAAGGGUUCGUUGAUUAUUUAGAUUUCUUUAUGAUAUUUGUGGUUUAGUGAGAUGUAUUAAAUUAUCAAUUUAUUAUUAUAGAGUUAUAGGAAGAUUGUGGAAAACAUGGAUUUAUGUUAUUUGAUUAUUACUUUGAUGAUCAUGUGGAGGGAUUUAAGUUUUAAGUUGAGAAAGAUGAAUUUAUGUUUGUUUUGAAACCUUUGGAGAUUUUAUUUAUAUUGGGAGAUAUGAUUAUAGAUGAUAGGUAGUAAUUCUCCGACCCAGCCAGGUACGAGGCGUUACAGAAGGAGAAGGUGUAGGGCAUCCUCUCACCCCUACCUGAGUGUGCCCCAGCAGAUGGCGUGGACUGUGACGAGUACACACUCCGGAAGGUGGAGCUGAACAAGCCGCUAAAACUGAUCUUGCUGAAUCUAAGCCGCUUGAAAGCCACUACUAGGAUCGACAUUGAGAUAACCCUUGAGAUGAGGGCUGCUAUGUAGCAGCUCGUCGUGGAGCACCAGCAUGCCUUUGCCUGGAGUCACAAGGAUAUGCCAAGAAUCGACUUCGAGACCAUGCAAUAUCACUUGAGUGUGGACCCCAAAGCUAACGGGGAGCAGCAGAAAUGUAA